GAUGAACGCUGGCGGCGUGCCUAAUACAUGCAAGUCGAGCGAACGGACGAGAAGCUUGCUUCUCUGAUGUUAGCGGCGGACGGGUGAGUAACACGUGGAUAACCUACCUAUAAGACUGGGAUAACUUCGGGAAACCGGAGCUAAUACCGGAUGAUAUUUUGAACCGCAUGGUUCAAAAGUGAAAGACGGUCUUGCUGUCACUUAUAGAUGGAUCCGCGCUGCAUUAGCUAGUUGGUAAGGUAACGGCUUACCAAGGCAACGAUGCAUAGCCGACCUGAGAGGGUGAUCGGCCACACUGGAACUGAGACACGGUCCAGACUCCUACGGGAGGCAGCAGUAGGGAAUCUUCCGCAAUGGGCGAAAGCCUGACGGAGCAACGCCGCGUGAGUGAUGAAGGUCUUCGGAUCGUAAAACUCUGUUAUUAGGAAGAACAUAUGUGUAAGUAACUGUGCACAUCUUGACGGUACCUAAUCAGAAAGCCACGGCUAACUACGUG
rnacentral:rRNA from 1 species